rnacentral:rRNA from 1 species
CCUACGGGGGGCAGCAGUAGGGAAUUUUGCGCAAUGGGGGAAACCCUGACGCAGCAACGCCGCGUGAUCGAUGAAGCCCUUCGGGGUGUAAAGAUCUGUCAGUGGGGACGAAACCUGACGGUACCCACAGAGGAAGCACCGGCUAACUCCGUGCCAGCAGCCGCGGUAAUACGGGGGGUGCAAGCGUUGUCCGGAAUCAUUGGGCGUAAAGGGAGUGUAGGCGGUUUAGUAAGAUAGUGGUGAAAUCCCAGAGCUUAACUUUGGAAUUGCCAUUAUAACUAUUAGACUAGAAUUACAGAGAGGAUAGUGGAAUACCCAGUGUAGAGGUGAAAUUCGUAGAUAUUGGGUAGAACACCAGUGGCGAAGGCGACUAUCUGGCUGUACAUUGACGCUGAGGCUCGAAAGCAUGGGGAUCAAACAGGAUUAGAUACCCUAGUAGUC